rnacentral:rRNA from 1 species
AGCAAGCGCACGAAGGCGUACACAGCUGCCGAGGGCAAGCUUCUUUGCGAGUGUUGGCGAGACAUUGGACAAGACCCAAAGACGGGCGCCGAGCAAAAGCAUUCGACCUUUUGGACUCGUGUGCACCGCGAGUUUCAUGAGCGCAAGAAGUUUCCACCUUACCAAUUUGUGAGCACGCGCGGGUGGGUCUCCAUUUCCAAGCGGUGGAGGGUGAUCCAACAAGAGUGCAACAAGUUUUGCGCCACCCUUGAGAGCGUCAAGGCCCGCCCCGUGAGCGGCAUCGGCGUGCAAGACAUGGUAUGA